CGUGUAGGCGGCUGGAUAAGUCAGAUGUGAAAGCCCUGGGCUUAACCCAGGAAGUGCAUUUGAAACUGUUCAGCUUGAGUAAGGGAGAGGAAAGUGGAAUUCCUGGUAUAGAGGUGAAAUUCGUAGAUAUCAGGAGGAACACCGGUGGCGAAGGCGACUUUCUGGCCCUAUACUGACGCUGAGACGCGAGAGCGUGGGUAGCAAACA
rnacentral:rRNA from 1 species